rnacentral:rRNA from 1 species
GGAUUAGAAACCCUGGUAGUCCACGCUGUAAACGAUGAGUGCUAGGUGUUGGGUCGAGAGACUCGGUGCCGCAGCUAACGCAAUAAGCACUCCACCUGGGGAGUACGUACGCAAGUAUGAAACUCAAAGGAAUUGACGGGGGCCCGCACAAGCGGUGGAGCAUGUGGUUUAAUUCGACGCAACGCGAAGAACCUUACCAAGGCUUGACAUUUUUCUGAAAGCGUAAGAGAUUACGCCUCCUUCGGGCAGAGUAAACAGGUGGUGCAUGGUUGUCGUCAGCUCGUGUCGUGAGAUGUUGGGUUAAGUCCCG